rnacentral:rRNA from 1 species
UGUAAGAUAAAUUGGUCGAACAGACCAUAAUUUUAAAAUUCUACACCUAAAAAUAUCUUAAUCCAACAUCGAGGUCGCAAACUAUAUUAUCAAUACGAUCUCUCUAAUAUAAUAACGCUGUUAUCCCUUAAGUAACUUAAUCUUUUAAUCAUAAAUUAUGGAUCAAAUCAAUUAUUAAUGAAAAAAAGUUAUAUAAAUUUUCCUAUCACCCCAAUAAAAUAUUAUAUAAAGUUUUAAAGGGUCUUCUCGUCCCAUAAAACUAUUUAAACUUUUUAAUUUAAAAAUAAAAUUCUAAUAUUUAUAUAUAAUAAAGUUAAUAUUUCAUUCAUUCAUUCAUACAAGCUUUCAAUUAAAAAACAAUUGAUUAUGCUACCUUUGUACAGUCAAAAUACUGCAGCCAUUAUCAGUGGGCAGAAUAGACUUAAAAUU